rnacentral:rRNA from 1 species
AUUGAACGCUGGCGGCAUGCUUUACACAUGCAAGUCGAACGGCAGCACGGGCUUCGGCCUGGUGGCGAGUGGCGAACGGGUGAGUAAUAUAUCGGAACGUACCCAGAAGUGGGGGAUAACGUAGCGAAAGUUACGCUAAUACCGCAUACGAUCUAUGGAUGAAAGCAGGGGACCGCAAGGCCUUGUGCUCCUGGAGCGGCCGAUAUCUGAUUAGCUAGUUGGUGAGGUAAAGGCUCACCAAGGCGACGAUCAGUAGCUGGUCUGAGAGGACGACCAGCCACACUGGAACUGAGACACGGUCCAGACUCCUACGGGAGGCAGCAGUGGGGAAUUUUGGACAAUGGGCGCAAGCCUGAUCCAGCAAUGCCGCGUGAGUGAAGAAGGCCUUCGGGUUGUAAAGCUCUUUUGUCAGGGAAGAAACGGUAGAGGCUAAUAUCCUUUGCUAAUGACGGUACCGGAAGAAUAAGCACCGGCGAACUACGU